UACAGAGGUCUCAAGCGUUGUUCGGAUUCAUUGGGCGUAAAGGGUGCGUAGGCGGCGCGGUAAGUCGGGUGUGAAAUCUCGGAGCUUAACUCCGAAACUGCAUUCGAUACUGCCGUGCUUGAGGACUGGAGAGGAGACUGGAAUUUACGGUGUAGCAGUGAAAUGCGUAGAGAUGCGGAGGAACACCGAUGGCGAAGGCAACCCCCCUGGGCUGACACUGACGCCUCAGGCACGAAAGCGUGGGGAGCAAACAGG
rnacentral:rRNA from 1 species